GCCGCGGUGGUGAAAUUGGUAUACACGCAAGACUUAAAAUCUUGUGGACGAAAGUCCGUGAGGGUUCGAGUCCCUCCCGCGGCACCC
rnacentral:tRNA from 1 species